GACGAUUUUCAAAGAAGUGAGACACGAGCUCCUCAAAAGCUUUAUAUAUUUCAAAUAAAACAAGAUCCUGCAUGCCAGAGUGAAGAUCUAAAGAUUCCCCAAAACCUGGAAUUGUUUUUGAGUAAGGGAGAAGAAAUCGCUCCAACCAAGGCUGACCCCAGAGCUGUUACUGAGCUGGAGAAAUGACCGUAGCAUGUUAAAAUAAGGCAGGUGGAUCCUUCACAAGUUUCUCCUGCUGUUUUUCUUCUAAGCCUUGAAGAUUCAUGUGAUUUAAAUCCUGAAGUGACAGGAGGGAAGCAAAUGCUAUAACUUUCAUUACCCACACAGUGAUUAUGAGAGGCUUCAUUGAUGGGUAUGUCUAAAUAUGCUUUGUGAUCUCUGGAAGAAAGUUGUUACAGAGGAAAGGUGCCAUAAAAAUGCCAAUUAUUGUUGUUAUAAUAUAAAUCUUAUACCAUAUACAAUAAAGAUUAAAUAUAUAUGAUAGAUAUUUCA